AACAGGAUUAGAUACCCUGGUAGUCCAUGCCGUAAACGAUGUCUACUAGCCGUUGGGGCCUUUGAGGCUUUAGUGGCGCAGCUAACGCGAUAAGUAGACCGCCUGGGGUGUACGGUCGCAAGACUAAAACUCAAAUGAAUUGACGGGGGCCCGCACAAGCGGUGGAGCAUGUGGUUUAAUUCGAUGCAACGCGAAGAACCUUACCUGGUCUUGACAUAGUAAGAACUUUCCAGAGAUGGAUUGGUGCCUUCGGGAACUUACAUACAGGUGCUGCAUGGCUGUCGUCAGCUCGUGUCGUGAGAUGUUGGGUUAAGUCCCGCAACGAGCGCAACCCUUUUCCUUAUUUGCCAGCACUUCGGGUGGGAACUUUAAGGAUACUGCCGGUGACAAACUGGAGGAAGGCGGGGACGACGUCAAGUCAUCAUGGCCCUUACGACCAGGGCUACACACGUGCUACAAUGGUCGGUACAAAGGGUUGCUACCUAGCGAUAGGAUGCUAAUCUCAAAAAGCCGAUCGUAGUCCGGAUUGGAGUCUGCAACUCGACUCCAUGUAGUCGGAAUCGCUAGUAAUCGCGGAUCAGAAUGCCGCGGUGAAUACGUUCCCGGGCCUUGUACACACCGCCCGUCACACCAUGGGAGUUUGUUGCACCAGAAGUAGGUAGUCUAACCGUAAGGAGGACGCUUACCACGGUGUGGCCGAUGACUGGGGUGAAGUCGUAACAAGGUAACC
rnacentral:rRNA from 1 species